CCUACGGGAGGCAGCAGUGAGGAAUAUUGGUCAAUGGGCGCGAGCCUGAACCAGCCAUGUAGCGUGCAGGAUGACUGCCCUAUGGGUUGUAAACUUCUUUUAUACAGGGGUAAAGUGAGGCACGUGUGCCUUUUUGUAUGUAUUUUAUGAAUAAGGAUCGGCUAACUCCGUGCCAGCAGCCGCGGUAAUACGGAGGAUUCGAGCGUUAUCCGGAUUUAUUGGGUUUAAAGGGUGCGUAGGUGGUUCGUUACGUUAGUUGUGAAAGUCUGCGGCUCAACUUUGGAAUUGCCUCUGAUACUGUCAGGCUAGAGUUUAGUUGCGGUAGGCGGAAUGUGUGGUGUAGCGGUGAAAUGCAUAGAGAUCAUACAGAACACCGAUUGCGAAGGCAGCUUACCAAACUACGACUGACGUUGAUGCUCGAAAGCGUGGGUAUCAAACAGGAUUAGAUACCCGUGUAGUC
rnacentral:rRNA from 1 species